rnacentral:ribozyme from 1 species
GAUAGUUUGCGAACUGCUCUAUCCGCCCCUGUCUAUAAGAUUAACGUAGGCUCUCAAUCCCCUACCCCUUCCCAAUACGUCCCCGUCAUACAGAAUGGUAAUAUGUCUUUCAAUUAUCCAUGCUAGGAUAUACGGCGAAAUCCAACUCCUUGGGCGGAUGGGUAGCAUGGCUAAUUUAAGAGGG